UACAGAGGGGGCAAGCGUUAUUCGGAAUUAUUGGGCGUAAAGGGCGCGUAGGCGGAUUGUUAAGUCAGGGGUGAAAUCCUGGAGCUCAACUCCAGAACUGCCUUUGAUACUGGCGAUCUCGAGUCCGGGAGAGGUGAGUGGAACUGCGAGUGUAGAGGUGAAAUUCGUAGAUAUUCGCAAGAACACCAGUGGCGAAGGCGGCUCACUGGCCCGGUACUGACGCUGAGGUGCGAAAGCGUGGGGAGCAAACAGG
rnacentral:rRNA from 1 species